rnacentral:rRNA from 1 species
CCUACGGGUGGCAGCAGUGAGGAAUAUUGGUCAAUGGCCGGAAGGCUGAACCAGCCAUGCCGCGUGAAGGUCAGUGCCCUAUGGGCGUUAAACUUCUUUUGUGCUGGAGCAAUAAUGGUCACGUGUUGCCAGCCGAUAGUACCGUACGAAUAAGCAUCGGCCAACUUCGUGCCAGCCGCCGCGGUAAUACGGGGGAUGCAAGCGUUAUCCGGAUUUAUUGGGUUUAAAGGGUGCGUAGGCUGUGAGGUAAGGCAGCGGUGAAAUGCCCCCGCUCAACGGGGUGAAGUGCCAUUGAUACUGGCAUGCUGGAAUGCGGAUGCGGUGGGAGGAAUGUGUGGUGUAGCGGUGAAAUGCUUAGAUAUCACGAAGAACUCCGAUUGCGAAGGCAGCUCACUGGACUGCAACUGACACUGAGGCUCGAAAGUGUGGGUAUCAAACAGGAUUAGAUACCCCUGUAGUC